rnacentral:tRNA from 1 species
UCCCUGGUAGUCCAGAGGUUAAGACUCCAUGCUGCCAAUGCAGGGGUCCCAGGGUUCAAUCCCUGGUCAGGGAA